rnacentral:rRNA from 1 species
AACGAACGCUGGCGGCAGGCUUAACACAUGCAAGUCGAGCGCCCCGCAAGGGGAGCGGCAGACGGGUGAGUAACGCGUGGGAAUCUACCCAUCUCUACGGAAUAACGCAUGGAAACGUGUGCUAAUACCGUAUACGUCCUUCGGGAGAAAGAUUUAUCGGAGAUGGAUGAGCCCGCGUUGGAUUAGCUAGUUGGUGGGGUAAAGGCCUACCAAGGCGGCGAUCCAUAGCUGGUCUGAGAGGAUGAUCAGCCACACUGGGACUGAGACACGGCCCAGACUCCUACGGGAGGCAGCAGUGGGGAAUAUUGGACAAUGGGCGCAAGCCUGAUCCAGCCAUGCCGCGUGAGUGAUGAAGGCCCUAGGGUUGUAAAGCUCUUUCACCGGUGAAGAUAAUGACGGUAACCGGAGAAGAAGCCCCGGCUAACUUCGUGCCAGCCGCCGCCACGGUAA